rnacentral:rRNA from 1 species
AUUGAACGCUGGCGGCAUGCCUUACACAUGCAAGUCGAACGGCAGCACGGGAGCAAUCCUGGUGGCGAGUGGCGAACGGGUGAGUAAAGUAUCGGAACGUGCCCAGUCGUGGGGGAUAACGUAGCGAAAGUUACGCUAAUACCGCAUACGAUCUAUGGAUGAAAGCGGGGGAUCGCAAGACCUCGCGCGAUUGGAGCGGCCGAUAUCAGAUUAGGUAGUUGGUGGGGUAAAGGCUCACCAAGCCGACGAUCUGUAGCUGGUCUGAGAGGACGACACGCCACACUGGGACUGAGACACGGCCCAGACGCCUACGGGAGGCAGCAGUGGGGAAUUUUGGACAAUGGGCGAAAGCCUGAUCCAGCCAUGCCGCGUGCAGGAUGAAGGCCUUCGGGUUGUAAACUGCUUUUGUACGGAACGAAAAGGUUUGGCCUAAUAAGCUGAGCUCAUGACGGUACCGUAAGAAUAAGCACCGGCUAACUACGUGCCAGCCGCCGCAGUAA